ACGAACGCUGGCGGCGUGCUUAACACCUGCAAGUCGAACGGUGAAGCGCCUUCCUUUUUGGUGGGUGUGGAUGAGUGGCGAACGGGUGAGUAACACGUGAGUAACCUGCCCCCUUCUUCUGGAUAACCGCAUGAAAGUGUGGCUAAUACGGGAUAUUCUGGGUCUGUCGCAUGAUGGGUCUGGGAAAGAUAUUGUUUCGGUGGGGGAUGGGCUCGCGGCCUAUCAGCUUGUUGGUGGGGUGAUGGCCUACCAAGGCGGUGACGGGUAGCCGGCCUGAGAGGGUGGACGGUCACACUGGGACUGAGACACGGCCCAGACUCCUACGGGAGGCAGCAGUGGGGAAUAUUGCACAAUGGGCGCAAGCCUGAUGCAGCGACGCCGCGUGAGGGAUGGAGGCCUUCGGGUUGUGAACCUCUUUCGCCAGUGAAGCAGGCCUGCCUCGUUUGUGGGUGGGUUGACGGUAGCUGGAUAAGAAGCGCCGGCUAACUACGUG
rnacentral:rRNA from 1 species